rnacentral:rRNA from 1 species
UACGGGGGGGGGUAAGCGUUGUUCGGAAUUACUGGGCGUAAAGGGCUCGUAGGCGGCCAACUAAGUCAUACGUGAAAUCCCUCAGCUUAACUGGGGAACUGCGUGUGAUACUGGAUGGCUUGGAUUUGGGAGAGGGAUGCGGAAUUCCAGGUGUAGCGGUGAAAUGCGUAGAUAUCUGGAGGAACACCGGUGGCGAAGGCGGCAUCCUGGACCGGCAUUGACGCUGAAUAGCGAAAGCCAGGGGAGCAAACGGG